rnacentral:rRNA from 1 species
AUUGGCUGUCGUCAGCUCGUGUCGUGAGAUGUUGGUUAAGUCCCGCAACGAGCGCAACCCUUGUCAUUAGUUGCUACAUUCAGUUGGGCACUCUAAUGAGACUGCCGGUGACAAGCCGGAGGAAGGUGGGGAUGACGUCAAGUCCUCAUGGCCCUUAUAGGUGGGGCUACACACGUCAUACCCCAAUGGCUGGUACAAAGGGUUGCCAACCCGCGAGGGGGAGCUAAUCCCAUAAAGCCAGUCGUAGUCCGGAUCGUAGUCUGCAACUCGACUACGUGAAGUCGGAAUCGCUAGUAAUCGUGGAUCAGAAUGUCACGGUGAAUACGUUCCCGGGUCUU